rnacentral:rRNA from 1 species
UACGUAGGGUGCAAGCGUUAAUCGGAAUUACUGGGCGUAAAGCGUGCGCAGGCGGUUUUGUAAGACUGUCGUGAAAUCCCCGGGCUUAACCUGGGAAUGGCGAUGGUGACUGCAAGGCUAGAGUUUGGCAGAGGGGGGUAGAAUUCCACGUGUAGCAGUGAAAUGCGUAGAGAUGUGGAGGAACACCGAUGGCGAAGGCAGCCCCCUGGGUUAACACUGACGCUCAGGCACGAAAGCGUGGGGAGCAAACAGG